rnacentral:rRNA from 1 species
GACGAACGCUGGCGGCGCGCUUAACACAUGCAAGUCGAACGGAAAGGCCUGCUUUCCCUUGUGGAUUGCGGGUACUCGAGUGGCGAACGGGUGAGUAACACGUGAGUGAUCUGCCCCCAACUUGGGUAUAAGCCUGGGAAACUGGGUCUAAUUCCCGAUAGGACUGCAGGGUGGUGCCUGUGGUGGAAAACGAUUUUCUAGUGGUUGGGGAUGAGCUCGCGGCCCAUCAGCUUGUUGGUGGGGUAAUGGCCUACCAAGGCGGCGACGGGUAGCCGGCCUGAGAGGGUGGACGGCCACAUUGGGACUGAGAUACGGCCCAGACUCCUACGGGAGGCAGCAGUGGGGAAUAUUGCACAAUGGGCGGAAGCCUGAUGCAGCGACGCCGCGUGGGGGAUGACGGCCUUCGGGUUGUAAACUCCUUUCGACCGCGAGGAAGCCACCUGGUUGGAAGGGUGGUGACGGUAGUGGUAGAAGAAGCACCGGCUAACUACGUG